rnacentral:miRNA from 14 species
GUUAAAACUGACCUGAGGCUCUUCUUCUCGGUCCCAUAUUGAACUCGAGUUGGAAGAGGCAAGUCCGGUCUCAAA